UGGGGAAUUUUGGACAAUGGGGGCAACCCUGAUCCAGCCAUUCCGCGUGUGCGAUGAAGGCCUUCGGGUUGUAAAGCACUUUUGGCAGGAAAGAAAUCGCACCAAUUAAUACUUGGUGUGGAUGACGGUACCUGCAGAAUAAGCACCGGCUAACAACGUGCCAGCAGCCGCGGUAGUACGUCGGGGGCAAGCGUGAAUCGGGAUGACUGGGCGUGAAGCGUCCGCGGGCGGGUUGAUCAGUAGGGCGUU
rnacentral:rRNA from 1 species